AACCAAAUUAGGGUUGAGGCGAGGGGAAGAGAGAGGCGAUUGGCAGACGAUUGACGGCGGAAGCGACGAUGUCGUCGGCGUCGCUCGGCUCAUCUGCUUCUCGCGGUGGAGGGAUUCGCCGGAGAGGCGGAGCAGCAAGGUCGCCGGUGCCCUAUCGGGAGGAGCCCAUGGAGUAUGAGCCGGUGAUUUGUUGCUCCCUGUGCAGGAAGAAAGCGCCGCGGUGGAUUUCCUAGAGUCCAGCGAACCCUGGGAGGAGGUACUAUGCGUGCGUUGAAGCUCAGCACAGCUUCAUUCAGUGGCAUGAUGUGCCUACAACUCUUUUUGUGCGUGGACUGCUGGGAGAUCUUCGAGACAGAGUGUGGAAGUUGGAGGCAGACAUUGAUGCACUGUUAACUGAAGGAGCUUCAGGAGCUGCUACUUUAACUGAUGGAGUGACGAGAGGCAACGAAAAAAAUGCAUCAGUUAGUGAGAAAUGUGUUAGCAGAGAGAUGUUGUUGUAUGGCAUUGUGUUAUUUCUGUCUGGUAUGGUAGUAGGGAUGAUUUUAGGCUGGUGAAUCAGGUAGUAAAUAAGUUUGAGGCAAUGUACUGAAUGUGGAGCAAUGUAAUGUUUUUGAGACAAGUUUGAAUGCAAUUCAGUUUGAAAAUAUUUUCAUGACA